rnacentral:snoRNA from 1 species
GCCCUCCAGAGUCUGUAUUCAUCGCGGCUAAGCACUGCUGAGUGGCUGUAAAAGGAGGAAAAGUAAAACUGAAAGAGACUUGUAUUUUUUCGUGACACACAUGUUGGUUUCAAACAAGC